AAAGUGCCUGUAAAUAAACCCUGAGUGGGCAACAUGAAUGGCCGCAGACCAGACAAAAUGAGAAUCCAGUUAAACAAGUGCAUGAAACAUGCCCCUUAGUCCACCCAGCCUGCAACACAAAAGCACAGAACAGGCAGCGUCUAAACCACAGACAUUGACUUCCUUCCGUUCUGGAGGCCGGAAGUCCAAGAUGGAGGGUCCCGCAGAUUCCGUGUCUGGUCUUUUUCUACAGAAAUAUUGGCAAAAUCAUCUUCAUUGUUCAUAGAUUGUUGCAGCAGAUCCAACUGAAGGAUACACCAACCACUUUAAUCAGACACAAAAGAACAGGCUGUCCUCACCUGACCACUACCCACAACAACCGAACUUUAAUCAGACACAAAAGAACAGGCUCUCACCUGACCACCACCCACAACAACCGAAGGGCAGGGUGAGUCCAUUUAGAGUCUCGAGAAUUUCAGACGUGCAUUCACUUUAAAGCAGGGCUCAGGACCAUGACCCCAGGCUGAGGACUGAGGGUAAAGUGCCACUUGCCACAUGGGGCCUCCGGGGGGAGUCGGGAAGAAACCUGCACAAGGAUGAGGCCGUCCCCCAGCAGGACUCCAGGACUCCAUCCCCAGGACCAUGGCCACCCCAGGGCCAUGCAUGCCCAGAAACACCCUCCAUUCCCUGCAGGCAGGAACAGCAGGUGCAGCUCCUCUGCCUGCCAGCUUUGGGACCUCUAGGACUGACCGCUUCCUGUCUGGACACCAGUCCUGUAAUGCUCUCAUCCUUGCUGUCUGAG
rnacentral:lncRNA from 1 species